CCUACGGGAGGCUGCAGUGGGGAAUAUUGCACAAUGGGCGCAAGCCUGAUGCAGCCAUGCCGCGUGUGUGAAGAAGGCCUUCGGGUUGUAAAGCACUUUCAGCGGGGAGGACGGCGUUAAGGUUAAUAACCUUGGCGAUUGACGUUACCCGCAGAAGAAGCACCGGCUAACUCCGUGCCAGCAGCCGCGGUAAUACGGAGGGUGCAAGCGUUAAUCGGAAUUACUGGGCGUAAAGCGCACGCAGGCGGUCUGUCAAGUCGGAUGUGAAAUCCCCGGGCUCAACCUGGGAACUGCAUUCGAAACUGGCAGGCUAGAGUCUUGUAGAGGGGGGUAGAAUUCCAGGUGUAGCGGUGAAAUGCGUAGAGAUCUGGAGGAAUACCGGUGGCGAAGGCGGCCCCCUGGACAAAGACUGACGCUCAGGUGCGAAAGCGUGGGGAGCAAACAGGAUGAGAUACCCGGGUAGUC
rnacentral:rRNA from 1 species